AACCAACAGGGAUUGCCUCAGUAACGGCGAGUGAAGCGGCAAAAAGCUCAAAUUUGAAAUCUAACACUUUCAGUGUUCGAGUUGUAAUUUGAAGAAAGUUUCUCUGAGUAGUCCUUUAUCUAUGUUCCUUGGAACAGGACGUCAUAGAGGGUGAGAAUCCCGUAUGAUUUUGGAUACUAUUCUUUGUGAGAUUCUUUCGAAGGGUCGAGUUGUUUGGGAAUGCAGCUCUAAGUGGGUGGUAAAUUCCAUCUAAAGCUAAAUAUUGGCGAGAGACCGAUAGCGAACAAGUACAGUGAUGGAAAGAUGAAAAGAACUCUGAAGAGAGAGUGAAAAAGUACGUGAAAUUGCUGAAAGGGAAGGGCUUUAGGUCAGACUUGGUGUUUAAUGAUUAUCUUCUCUUUUGAGUUGUGCACUCGUUUUCACUGGGCCAAUAUCAGUUUUUGUGGUAGAGCACCUACUGGAAUGUAGCUUUUCUUCGGAUGAGUGUUAUAGCCUUUAGACGAUCUAUUUAC
rnacentral:rRNA from 1 species